rnacentral:rRNA from 1 species
AAACUGUCUCCUUUUUUUAAUCAGUGAAACUAAUCUCCCCGUGAAGAAGCGGGGAUUCUUUUAUAAGACGAGAAGACCCUAUGGAGCUUUAAACAAGUUAACACCUGCUACUAAUCUUCACUUUCCUGAACCACCACAUUAAGUAUAGCACCUCUGAUUAACAGUUUUCGAUUGGGGUGAUCAUGGAGCAAAAAUCAACCUCCACGACGAAAAGGAACACCUCCUUGAGCCAAAAGCUACAACUUUAACACUAAAAAACUAAUGACCCAUUCUUUGAGCAACGAACCAAGUUACCCUAGGGAUAACAGCGCAAUCCACUUUAAGAGCUCUAUCGACAAGUGGGUUUACGACCUCAUGUUGGAUCAGGGUAUCCCAGUGGUGCAGCCGCUACUAAAGGUUCGUUUGUUCAACGAUUAAAACCCUA